AUGCCUCAAGACAUCGGCACUACUGGAAAAGCCAGAAUAUCCCGUCUGAGCCAUUUUCCAUUGUCUUUGGCCCCACAUUGAAGAUGCUAUUUAAGCCACAGUUCAAGAUCGACCAUGAAAGGUACAUGAAACAUGGAAACUUUUUCGGCGCCUUUGAAGCGGGCAAGCCCGUUCUGUUUGUCGCGGAGCCUGAUCUUGUGAAACAAGUUCUAGUAAAGGAUUUCGC
rnacentral:lncRNA from 1 species